GAUGAACGCUGGCGGCGUGCCUAAUACAUGCAAGUCGAGCGAACAGACGCCUACCUUGCUCCUCUGACGUUAGCCGCGUACGUGUCAGUUACACAUCCUUCACCUACCUAUGAGACUGGGAUAACUUCCGGAGACCAGUGCUAAUACCGGAUCCUAUCUUCAACCGCAUGGUUCAAUAGUUACAGCCGGUUUUGCUGUACCUUCUACAUGUCUCCGCGUCGCAUUAGCGAGUUGGUAAGGUAACGGCUUCCCAAGGCAACGAUGCGUAGCCGACCUGAGAGGGGGAACGGGCACACUGGAACUGAGACACGGUACAGACACCUAGGGGAGGCAGAAGUAGGGAAGCUUGCGCGAUGGGCGAAAGCCUGAAGGAGCAACGCCGCGUGGGUGAUGAAGGGCUGCGGAUCGUAAGACUCUGUUAGGAGGGAAGAACAAAUGUGGAAGUAACUAUGCACGUCGUGACGGUACCUAAAGAGAAAGCCACGGCUAACUACGUG
rnacentral:rRNA from 1 species